GGAAUAUUGGUCAAUGGCCGCGAGGCUGAACCAGCCAAGUAGCGUGCAGGAUGACGGCCCUAUGGGUUGUAAACUGCUUUUAUGCGGGGAUAAAGUGACGUACGUGUGCGUUUUUGCAGGUACCGCAUGAAUAAGGACCGGCUAAUUCCGUGCCAGCAGCCGCGGUAAUACGGAAGGUCCGGGCGUUAUCCGGAUUUAUUGGGUUUAAAGGGAGCGCAGGCGGGCGUUUAAGCGUGACGUGAAAUGUAGCCGCUCAACGGCUGAACUGCGUCGCGAACUGGAUGCCUUGAGUGAGUACGACGCGGACGGAAUUCGUGGUGUAGCGGUGAAAUGCUUAGAUAUCACGAGGAACCCCGAUUGCGAAGGCAGUCCGCGAGUCCUUUACUGACGCUAAAGCUCGAAGGUGCGGGUAUCGAACA
rnacentral:rRNA from 1 species